rnacentral:rRNA from 1 species
AAGUCUGACCUGCCCACUGAAAUUAUUUAAAUGGCCGCAGUAUUUUAACUGUGCAAAGGUAGCAUAAUCAUUAGUCUUUUAAUUGAAGGCUGGUAUGAACGGUUGGACGAGGUAUAAGCUGUUUCAUAUAAAUUUAUAAUAGAAUUUUAUAUUUUAGUCAAAAAGCUAAAAUAUAUUUAAAAGACGAGAAGACCCUAUAAAUCUUUAUAUUUUGUGUUGUUUAAAUUUUUUGGAAUCGGUUUAUUUUUAUAAUAUAAAAUAUUUUGUUGGGGUGAUAUUAAAAUUUAAUUAACUUUUAAUUAUUUAAAAUCAUUAAUUUAUGAGUUAUUGAUCCAUUAAUAGUGAUUAUAAGAUUAAGUUACUUUAGGGAUAACAGCGUAAUUUUUUUGGAGAGUUCAUAUCGAUAAAAAAGUUUGCGACCUCGAUGUUGGAUUAAGAUAUAAUUUUAGGUGUAGUCGCUUAAAU